GACGACGCUGGCGGCGUGCUUAACACAUGCAAGUCGAACGGUAAGGCCCUUCGGGGUACACGAGUGGCGAACGGGUGAGUAACGCGUGAGUAACCUGCCCUUCACUCUGGGAUAACAGUUGGAAACGGCUGCUAAUACCGGAUAUUCAGCUCCUGUCGCAUGGUGGGGGUUGGAAAGUUUUGGUGGUGGAGGAUGGGCUCGCGUCCUAUCAGCUUGUUGGUGGGGUGAUGGCCUACCAAGGCGUCGACGGGUAGCCGGCCUGAGAGGGCGACCGGCCACAUUGGGACUGAGAUACGGCCCAAACUCCUACGGGAGGCAGCAGUGAGGAAUAUUGGUCAAUGGGCGCAAGCCUGAACCAGCCAUCCCGCGUGAAGGAAGAAUGCGCUACGCGUUGUAAACUUCUUUUCCAGGGGGAGAAUAAUCCUGUCGUGACAGGACUUGACGGUACUCUGGGAAUAAGCAUCGGCUAACUCCGUG
rnacentral:rRNA from 1 species